ACUGGAAAGCGGAAAUGCCACACCUGUUCAUGGUUCCAGAAGAAUCCUAAAACUACAAAAACUGGAAACACUCUCACACCUAUUAAUCCUUACACUACGACAAGCUUAAUAUAUUUUCCGUUUAAUUCCUCUUCACAGAUUAAAAAAUCAAAAAAAAAAAGAUGAGCAGCCGUGCCAGUCGGACUCUUUACGUAGGCAAUCUUCCCGGGGAUAUUCGACAGAGAGAAGUUAAAGAUUUGUUUUACAAGUAUGGACCCAUUGUUGAAAUUGAUCUGAAAGUCCCACCAAGACCCCCUGGCUAUGCUUUUGUUGAGUUCGAAGAUGCUCGCGACGCUGAAGAUGCUAUCCGUGGUCGUGAUGGAUAUAAGUUUGAUGGGUAUAGAUUACGAGUGGAGCUUGCACAUGGUGGUCGGAGGAAUUCAUCUCCAGAAGAUCGUUAUAGCAGCUAUAGUCGGAGCAGUGGAAGUCGUGGGCCUUCCAAACACUCUGAUUAUCGUGUUCUAGUCACUGGAUUACCUUCUUCUGCUUCGUGGCAAGAUCUCAAGGAUCAUAUGCGACGAGCUGGGGAUGUCUGCUUCUCUCAAGUGUUCCGUGACCGUGGUGGCAUGACCGGAAUUGUAGAUUACACAAACUAUGAUGAUAUGAAGCGCUCUAUUAGGAAACUUGAUGACUCUGAGUUUCGAAAUGCAUUUUCUCGAUCUUAUAUACGGGUGAGGGCAUAUGAUUCGAGAAGGAGCUACUCAAGGAGUCCCAGUCGUAGCUCGUAUGACCGCAAUGGGAGAAGAAGCUGGAGCCGAAGCCGCAGUCUUAGUCGCAGCGGUAGCUACAGUGACAGGAGUAGGAGCUAUUCUCCGGCAGCUAAAUAUUCUCGUCGAUCUCCGUCUGUAUCUUCUCGUAGAUCUCUUUCUCCACGUUCUGCUGCAGGAUCAUCUCCCAGAUCUUCCAGAUCUGGCUUUGUACGGCAACCUGGGGAUUGGAUGUUAGGAACUUGAUGUUAUGUGGUGCUCAUAUACCUUCAUCUCUUUGUUGGUUGAGGUAAUGCAUUUUUAUUGAUGAGCAGUCAAGCACCUCUCAAUCAUACUGACUGUUUUAUAGUUCUGUUAUCAUGGUGUGUCAUUUAGUGCUAGAGUUCAUCAAGUGUGGAUGGAUUGCACUGUUAAAGCUGGAUUACUCAGAAGUCAGAAUUAAGUGCUAUUAGUACCAUCCCACAUAUCAGCGAUGCAUAUGAAACUUAAAACCACUUCAACGUCUAUUUCUUCCUGGACUUGGUGGUAUGUGUAAGAAGACUUUAGUUCUUCUCUAAUCUGGAAGUGAAUGAGGAAGAUGUCCUCGACUUUGCCAAUUUACUUCAUGGUGCUAUAGUGAAUUUUCUAUGUUCAUGUUGAUUAGUUCUCAUAAGCUUCUGGUAGAAAUUCCAAAUACUGGUGCUAAUUCCUGAUCCUUCUUGUUGCUGAUCACCUUGAGGUGGAAGUGGCAUCGAGGCUUUUGGAUCAAGGAUUUUAAUGGAUUGUUAUGGAUAAUUGGAUUGUUUCUGGAAUUUUUGCAGAUCUAGGUCAAGAUCAGAAUCUCCACUUGCAUCCCCUUCUAUCAAACAAGCAGGUAAGCGAGCAACCAAACGUAGUAGAAGCCGAAGCAGCGAGUCUCAGUCCCGUUCCCCCGCG